rnacentral:rRNA from 1 species
CCUACGGGUGGCAGCAGUGGGGAAUAUUGCGCAAUGGGCGAAAGCCUGACGCAGCGACGCCGCGUGAGGGAUGAAGGUCUUCGGAUCGGAAACCUCUGUCAGCAGGGAAGUACGGUCACUGUGCUAAUCAGCAGUGAAUUGACGGUACCUGCAAAGGAAGCACCGGCUAACUCCGUGCCAGCAGCCGCGGUAAUACGGAGGGUGCGAGCGUUAAUCGGAAUUACUGGGCGUAAAGCGCGCGUAGACGGUAUGUCAAGUCAAGGGUGAAAGCCCGGGGCUCAACGUGGGAACUGCCUUUGAUACUGGCAGACUGGAGUGUGUGAGAGGAUAGUGGAAUUCGAGGUGUAGGAGUGAAAUCCGUAGAUAUCUGGAGGAACAUCAGUGGCGAAGGCGACUAACUAGCACGUAACUGACACUGAGGAGCGAAAGCGUGGGUAGCAAACAGGAUUAGAUACCCUAGUAGUC